GCAAGUCGAACGGAAAGGCCCUGCUUGCAGGGUACUCGAGUGGCGAACGGGUGAGUAACACGUGGGUGAUCUGCCCUGCACUUCGGGAUAAGCCUGGGAAACUGGGUCUAAUACCGGAUAGGAGCCAUUUUUAGUGUGAUGGUUGGAAAGUUUUUUCGGUGUAGGAGGAGCUCGCGGCCUAGCAGCGUGUUGGGGGGGUAAUGGAGUACCAAGGCGGCGACGGGGAGCCGGCCUGAGAGGGUGGGC
rnacentral:rRNA from 1 species